CCUACGGGAGGCAGCAGUGGGGGAUAUUGGACAAUGGGGGAAACCCUGAUCCAGCGACGCCGCGUGAGUGAAGAAGUAUUUCGGUAUGUAAAGCUCUGUCAGCAGGGAAGUAAGAAAUGACGGUACCUGACCAAGAAGCCUCGGCUAACUACGUGCCAGCAGCCGCGGUAAUACGUAGGGGGCAAGCGUUAUCCGGAAUUACUGGGUGUAAAGGGAGCGUAGACGGUUAAGUAAGUCUGGUGUGAAAGGACGGGGCCCAACCCCGGGACUGCACUGGAAACUAGUAAACUUGAGUGCAGGAGAGGUGAGCGGAAUUCGUGGUGUAGCGGUGAAAUGCGUAGAUAUUAGGAAGAACACCGGUGGCGAAGGCAGCUUACUGGACUGUAACUGACGUUGAGGCUCGAAAGCGUGGGGAGCAAACAGGAUUAGAUACCCCUGUAGUC
rnacentral:rRNA from 1 species